rnacentral:rRNA from 1 species
UGCGCAGGCGGUUCGUUGUGUCGGCGGUGAAAGCCCCGGGCUUAACCUGGGAAUGGCCGUUGAAACUGGCGAACUGGAGUGUGGCAGAGGGGGGUGGAAUUCCGCGUGUAGCAGUGAAAUGCGUAGAGAUGCGGAGGAACACCGAUGGCGAAGGCAGCCCCCUGGGCUGACACUGACGCUCAGGCACGGAAGCGUGGGGAGCAAACA